UACAGAGGGGCAAGCGUUAUUCGGAAUUAUUUGGGCGUAAAGUGUGCGCAGGCGGCCGAGCAAGUCGAGUGUGAAAGCCCCGAGCUUAACUUGGGAACUGCGCUCGAAACUACUUGGCUAGAGUGUGGCAGAGGGAGGUGGAAUUCCUGGUGUAGCGGUGAAAUGCGCAGAUAUCAGGAAGAACACCAAUGGCGAAGGCAGCUCUCUGGGACGGUACUGACGCUGAGACGCGAAAGCGUGGGGAGCGAACAGG
rnacentral:rRNA from 1 species